UGUUCACUGGGCUGUGGGGAUCUCUUUCCUCCUCAGCCAGGGCUUGAAGAUCAUCAUCAUAAGGACUGCCAUGAGUGGACAACCCUGCUUUCACACCUCAGACAAUC